rnacentral:rRNA from 1 species
UACGAAGGGGGCUAGCGUUGCUCGGAAUCACUGGGCGUAAAGGGUGCGUAGGCGGGUCUUUAAGUCAGGGGUGAAAUCCUGGAGCUCAACUCCAGAACUGCCCUUGAUACUGAAGAUCUUGAGUUCGGGAGAGGUGAGUGGAACUGCGAGUGUAGAGGUGAAAUUCGUAGAUAUUCGCAAGAACACCAGUGGCGAAGGCGGCUCACUGGCCCGAUACUGACGCUGAGGCACGAAAGCGUGGGGAGCAAACAGGG